rnacentral:rRNA from 1 species
UACGUAGGGGGGCAAGCGUUGUCCGGAAUCAUUGGGCGUAAAGCGCGUGUAGGCGGCCCGGUAAGUCCGCUGUGAAAGUCGGGGGCUCAACCCUCGGAUGCCGGUGGAUACUGUCGGGCUAGAGUGCGGGAGAGGCGGAGUGGAAUUCCUGGGUGUAGCGGUGAAAUGACGCAGAGUAUCAGGAGGAACACCAAUUGCGAAGGCAGCUCACUGGAACGUUACUGACGCUGAGACGCGAAAGCGUGGGGAGCAAACAGG